rnacentral:rRNA from 1 species
CUAAUAGUUAUAUAUUUAUCUUAAAGAUUAAACUAUAUAUAUCUAAAUAUAAGUAAUUAUAUAGCGAAACUAUAAAUAGCUUAUUAUAUAAAUUAUUAUUUAUUUAAUAGUAUUUUACUACUUAGAUAAUUAUAAUAAUUCUAAAGCUAAUAUAUAUUAAAAAUCCCGAUUUUAGAAAGGAUAUAUUUAUUAGAUUAAAAACUAAUACUUUUUAAAGCUUACUAGUAAUUUAUAAUAACUUCUUAAAUCAUAUAGUUUUAUACUAGUAAUAAUUUAUUUAAAUUUCUUCCCUAUUAACUUUUAAUAUUAGAGUAGUAUUCUAGUAUAGUUAUAAUAAGUAAUAGAAGGUUAAAGCUUAAUUCUAGAGAAGGAGCUUAAGAAAUAGCUAUUACAUCUAAGGAAAAUAAUAGAUAUGUAAAUUACCUAAUUUUAAUAUAGGGAAGUAGUAAUAAUAAAUAUUAAUAUAAAGCUUUUUUAAGUUUUAUAAUUAGAAUAAGUAUAAUUUAAAUUUUUUAAUAAGGAAUAAUUAGAAAGUAAGUCUAGUACUAAUAGUUAUAAUAAUUCUAGUUCUAAUAGCAUAUAUUAAAGUUAUUAUAAUUAAAAAGUUUAUAAUAGAACUUUAAGCUUAGUUAGCUGGUCCGUUUUAUUAUAUAUAUUAGUCUGGCUAAACCUUUUUUUCUAUAGAACUAUAUACCUUUUACUAAGUAUACUAGGGAAAUAGGAUUUUUAUUUUAAAAAAAUUAGAGUGUUCUAGGUAAGUUUAUACUUAAAUAUAUUAGUAUAGAAUAAUAGAAUAAGAUAUAUAAUUCUAUUUUAUUAGUUUCUAAGAUUGUUAUAAUAAUUAAUAGGGAUAGUUAGAAGUAUUAGUAUUUAAUUAUUAGAAGUGAAAUUCUUAGAUUUAUUAAAGACUAACUAUUAUGAAAGUAUUUACUAAGGAUAUUUUUAUUUAUUAGGAAUGAAAGUUAGGGGAUUAAAGAUAAUUAGAUAUUAUUAUAGUUUUAACUAUAAACUAUACUGAUUAGAGAUUAAAUAAAAUUAUUUUUUAACUUAUUUAAUACCUUAUAAGAAAUUAAAAUGCUUAGGUUCUAAGGGGAGUAUAGUUAUAAGGUUAAAACUUAAAGAGAUUAAUAGAAAGGUAUUACUAGGGGUAAAUAGUAGCUAUUUAAGUUCUACUCUAGAUAGUGAACUUAUAAAGGGUCUAGUGGUUAGCUCUGAAUUACUAGUUAUUUUAGUAGUAGUGAUAUUUUCUAAUUAUGGGAAAUUCUUAAAAAGUAGUACUCCUAAGUAGUAUUUAAAAAAGACAUUAUAACAAUAGUAUAAUAGCUACUAAUAUAAAGAUAAUAUAUUAUUUAUAAAAUAACUUAUAGCUAAGUUUCUAACUAUAGAAAAGAUUUAGAAAUUUAAUAAAAAUAGGUAGUACCUACUAAAUACUACUUAAAAUAGAAUUUAUACUUAUUUAAAAGAAUAAGGACUAAUUAGUAUAUUACUUAAAAAAGAAGUUUAUAAUUUAAUUUAAUUUAAUAUAAAGAAACUUAUUAAGUUUAAAUAUAAUAAAGAUUAAUAGAUUAAAAACUUUCUUUUAAUUUUAUAAGUAAUAGUAUAUAGCUAUUCUUAGUUAGUAGAGUAAUUUAUCUACUUAAUUAUAAUAAUAAAUAAGAUUUUAACUUACUAAAUAAUCCGUAUUAUUUUAAUAGUAUACUAGUUUUUUAAAAAAACUAUUAGUUUAAACUAAUAGAAAUUUAAAGUAAUAAUAAGUUAAUUUUUAUAGGUUUAUAAUAAUAGGUUUUAUUAAAAAUAACUAUCAGUCUAAUAAUUCUAAUUCUAUAGGGGAAAUCCCUAAUUAUUAAAUAGAAAGAUACUUCUUAAAAUAUCUAUUAUAAGUAAUACUACUUAGUAUAAAGAAUACCUAACUACCUCUAAAUAGUAGUUAAUCUUAUAGUAAACCUAAGUAAUACUAAGCUAUCAUAAUAUAUAUAAAAAAAUAGGCUUAAAAAAGCUUAAAAUAUAUACUAAUCCCAGGUAAAAACCUAACUUCCUAAAAAAACCUAGUAAGCUAAUAUAAAGGGGACCUACCUAACUAUAAACUAGUAUUCAAAUACUAUAAUACCCUUAGAUAUUCUAAACUAUAUAUAUAUUAUACUAAUAGAACUAGUAAAUACUCUUUUAACUAGAAAACCUAAGUAAUCUUAUUAAACUCUAUUAUACUAAAGAUAGAAUAUUAUAAUUAUUACUCUUUAAUAAAAAAUCCCUAGUAAGUAUAAGUUAUUAGUUUAUAUUAAUUAUAUCCCUACUUUUUAUAUAUACUACUUAUUACUACUACUAAUUAAAUAGUUUAGUAAGGUUUUUAGACUAACUUAGAGAAAUAGGUAACUACUACUUAAAACUAGAAAGUUAUCUAAACUUAGUUAUUUAGAAGAAGUAAAAAUUAUAAUAAGGUUUCUAUUAGUAAACUAGCAGAAGGAUUAUUA